GAUGAUUUCCACCGGGAGCCCGAACGCGCGGCUCGGGGAACGCGGCACAACCGAGCGCCUCACCUUGCGAUCGCGGCGCAAGAUGGUGGGCAGGCCGACGCGCGGCGGGGGAGCGGGCGCGCACUGCGCAGGCGCGGCGGGGCGGGGCAGAGCGCGGUUGCGCGCUCCCGCGGGGAGGCGGUCGCGGGGUGGAGCGCGCAUGCGCGCCGCCGCUCCUCCCUCCCCUCCGUCUUUUACCUCAGCGCCUGCCGCUUUUGCCGCCAUUUUGUGCCGCCGCGGCGGCUCCUCCGUUGUGUUCACGGGCGGUGCGAGCCGAAAAAACGGCCCCAUGGCGGACAGUCAGCUAGCGGCCGGGCCGGGAGAACCCGCCUCUCUGUGUGCGGCUGGGCUCUCCGGUUCGGAGCCUGAAACCCGCCGGCGGCUGAGCGAGCUGCGGGUGAUCGACCUGCGCGCCGAGCUCAAGCGGCGCAGUUUGGACAGCGGCGGCAACAAGAGCGUCCUCAUGGAGCGGCUGCGGAGGGCUAUUGAGGAGGAAGGGGGGAAUCCUGAUGAAAUUCCAGUGGUUUCAGAAAAUGUCAUGAAGAAAACUCCAAAAAGAAGCAGCAAAGGACGUAGACCAGAUGACGAGGGAGUAGAAGAUAAUGGCCUGGAAGAGGACUCGGGAGAUGGACAGGAGGAUAUUGAAGCAAGUUUGGAUAACUUGCAGGAUAUUGACAUGAUGGAUAUUAGUGUGUUAGAUGAAGCUGAAAUAGAUAAUGGCAAUGCGGUAGAUUGCGGAGAGGAUUACAGUGCUGAUAAUAUUCUUGACUCACUGUCUGAUAGUAAAGAAAAUGCUGAUGCAGAAGUGAAAGAACUUCCAGAUCAGCCUGCAGAAUAUGCUCUAGGUAACUUGGAGGCAUCCCCACAAUUUUCAGACAUUAAAGAAGAAUCAAGAGAAAUACCAGUAGCGAUGGCAGAGGCUGAAGAUGUUGGAACCAGUUCAGAUGCUGCUUCAGCUGGUUUAACCGUAAUAAAGGAACUUGAAGAAUUACCUUUGGAGCCAGAAAAUGAGAAAAUACUCGACAUUUUGGGGGAAACUUGUAAAUCUGAGCUACUUAACGAAGAAACUUCCGAAGCGGAGCGGCCGCAUGCACAGGAAGCCAGUAACGUGGUGCCAGGCAAGAGGCUGGCAGAGGAAGAGGACGCUCUUGGUGGCGCUCAGGUGGAGGAAGAUGCUUUAGAUUUGGACAGCAAAGCGGCCCAAGCUAUGGCAAGGAAGGAAGCAAAGCGUUUAGUUGUAGCAAAAGGGGAGACAAGUGAACAGACAAUAGAGGAAGCGAAGCCGGACUCUGACUCUUUAGUAGUAGAGAGCCUGAGCGAUCAGAGUAGCAAACGCUCCCCAGGCCUGGAAGCCUCUAGUGGGGAACCGGCGGCCAAAGGCGCAGGUCCCGAAGCCAAAGAUAGCAAAGAAGAUGCCAAGAAAGCAGAAGACAAAGCUAAUUCAGAGGAACCCCCUGCUACUAAAGAGUCCUCAGCCAGUGAGGGCGGUGAUCAGAAAAAGAGCCCCGGUGAGGAGGACAGAGAUACAAAGAUGAUCUCAAAGGAUGAGAAGGGCCGUGGGGGCAGUGGUUCUGGCAGAAACUUGUGGGUUAGUGGCCUUUCAUCCUCUACUAGAGCUACAGACUUGAAGAAUCUGUUCAGCAAGUAUGGAAAGGUGGUUGGUGCCAAAGUGGUGACCAACGCUCGCAGCCCCGGCUCCCGCUGCUACGGCUUUGUCACCAUGUCAACAUCAGAGGAAGCCACCAAAUGCAUUAAUCACCUCCACAGGACAGAGCUGCAUGGCAAAAUGAUUUCAGUGGAAAAGGCAAAAAACGAACCGGCUGGGAAAAAACCUUCAGACAAAAAGGAAGGGGAAACAAGGAAGGAAAAAGACAGGCACCAUCCUGCAGAGCCCAAGUCUGAGAAGUCUGUUGGUGUUAAGAAGGAGGAGAAGCCUGACAAAAAGGAUGAGGCUAAGAAAGCAGAAAAAGAUGGAAAAGACGAAAAAGAAGGAAAAGAGAAAGAUGACCAAAAGGCUGGAUCCUCUGAUAGAUCCAGGGCAAGCAAGUCAGCGAGUCGAGGAACCGAGAGGACGGUGGUGAUGGAUAAAUCAAAGGGAGAACCAGUUAUUAGUGUGAAAACUUCCACGUCAAAAGAGAGGAGUACAAAGAGCCAGGAUCGCAAAUCUGAGAGCAAGGAAAAACAAGAUAUUUUAUCCUUUGAUAAAAUCAAAGAGCAGCGAGAGCGGGAACGGCAGCGACAGCGGGAGCGGGAGAUCCGGGAGACCGAAAGGCGCCGAGAGCGAGAGCGGCGGGAUCGGGAGCAGCGGCUUCAGGCUAUUCACGAGCGGGAUGAGAGGCAGCGGCUGCAGAGGGAGCGGGAGCGGCUGGAAUUCCAGAGGCAGCGGCUUGACAGAGAGCGCCUGGAGAGGGAGAGGUUGGAGAGGGAAAGAAUGCACAUAGAGCAGGAGAGGAGGCGAGAGCAGGAGCGGAUCCAGCGGGAGCGGGAAGAGCUGCGGCGUCAGCAGGAGCAGCUCCGCUAUGAACAGGAGCGGAGAUCUGCCAUGCGGAGGCCUUAUGAUCCCGAUGGCAGGCGGGAUGACCCGUACUGGUCCGAGGCGAAGCGGAUGGCGCUGGACGAUCGGUACCAUUCUGAAUUCAGCCGCCAGGAUCGCUUCCACGACUUUGACCACAGGGAUCGUGGCCGGUACCAGGAUCAUUGUUUGGACAGAAGAGACGGUUCGAGAGGAAUACCGGAUCGCGAUGGGCAGCACUACCCGGAGGAGCGGCACGGAGGCCCUGAGCGGCAUUCCCGGGAUAGCUGGGGUGGCUACGGCUCCGACCGGAGGAUGAAUGAAGGGAGAGGGAUCCCCCCUCCGACCCGAGCUGGCCCUGGCUGGGGAGAGGAUGGCCCAAGGUUAGAGGGGCACCGAGAUCGUUCAUGGCAGGGCAGUGUGGCUGGAGGAGUGAUGGGACGGGAUCGUGAGCAAGGUGGUGAUAGAAGCAUGCCUGGUCAGUCAGGACCAGGCCAUGUGGUGAAUCGAGGAGGGCUGUCAGGGUAAGGAGCUUUGUCAGAGUGUGCUGCUCAUGUCGUGCCAAUAGUUGCCCUGUCUAACAGAAGAAAUCCCUGUCUCAAUCAUGCCAAACACUUUGCGCCUUCUCCUUAACUAUGGAUUGGCGCGGAGGCUUCACGCAGCUCGGGAACCAGAGCCAAGUGCUGCCCAGCACCGGGAUCCAGGGAGUGUUUGCAGGACAGGAGCGACCGCCCCGGCCCCCGGAGCCGCGCUUCACCCGCCGCUACUGAGAGCCCCCGUCUCCCCCUACAGAGCUCAACCUCUAUUUUUCUUUAAUGCCAGAUGACAACAAGUGGUGACUUUUAUGCCCCUUGACUUUGGAAGGACAGCAGGAGGCUGCUGCCGCCUCGUAGCCAAAUGUCAACUCUGCGUCAGUUUGGUUUUAUUCUCUCUUUUUUUUGUAAUAAACGUGUUCUUGGUCAAACAUCCCCUCAGGUUUCUGGUAGUUGAAACAUUCCAUUUUGCAAUAACAAUAAACUCGGUUUCGGCUGCUCC